rnacentral:ncRNA from 1 species
GGCCGGGUGUCUGCGACCAUAAAAUACCCUUCGGGGGAAAGCCGCAGGCCGUCCGAUAGCGGUGUUCAAGCACCCGGUCUCGUCCCU